UACGUAGGGUGCGAGCGUUAAUCGGAAUUACUGGGCGUAAAGCGUUCGCAGGCGGUUCGUUGUGUCUGAUGUGAAAGCCCCGGGCUCAACCUGGGAAUGGCCGUUGAAACUGGCGAACUGGAGUGUGGCAGAGGGGGGUGGAAUUCCGCGUGUAGCAGUGAAAUGCGUAGAGAUGCGGAGGAACACCGAUGGCGAAGGCAGCCCCCUGGGCUAACACUGACGCUCAGGCACGAAAGCGUGGGGAGCAAACAGG
rnacentral:rRNA from 1 species